AGAGGCUUAGGAUAGUAUCUAAACCAAGGACCUUCAAAGCCCUAAACAGGGGCCAAACCCCCUAGCCUCUG
rnacentral:tRNA from 1 species